rnacentral:rRNA from 1 species
AUUGAACGCUGGCGGCAGGCCUAACACAUGCAAGUCGAGCGGAAACAGAAGAUAGCUUGCUAUCUAGAUGUCGAGCGGCGGACGGGUGAGUAAUGCUUGGGGAACUGCCCAGUCGAGGGGGACAACUAUUGGAAACGAUAGCUAAUACCGCAUACGCCCUACGGGGGAAAGGAGGGGACUCUUCGGAGCCUUUCGCGAUUGGAUGUACCCAAGUGGGAUUAGCUAGUUGGUGAGGUAAUGGCUCACCAAGGCGACGAUCCCUAGCUGGUUUGAGAGGAUGAUCAGCCACACUGGAACUGAGACACGGUCCAG